AUAAGCUGCGGCUGAGCACAAUGCUGCUGAACCUAACAGGACAGCCUUCCACUGUCUACUAACCACCAGAAUGGCCAAAGCCGUCAAAGCCACUGCCGUGGCAGAGAGGAUAUUUUUCCAGAGCUCAAAAGAUUUGAUCACAUUGCUGCAGCUUCUACAAUGAAUAAUAUGUCUGAAGUACCGGUUAGCCAAAUUGGGAGCAUGCAUAGUCCCAAUUCCGCCUUUUGCAGGGUAAGAAGCAGAGAGAGCUGCAAUGAGCCCUGCCGGGGCAUGUUCCACGACAGGAGGGACUUUGGGGAGAGAUAUGGUCCUAUGCCCGAAAUGGUAAGGCAUCCCAUGACCAACUUUGUCCAUCCACUUUCUAUAUUCAGCGACCCAUGUGUCCGAUGACUUUAGAUUCAAAUACAAGUCCUUAGUUGGUACUUUCUCCUUCAUCAGAACCUCAUUUUGAGACGAUAGAAACCCCAUGUCUUGUUCAAA